GAUGAAACGUAGCGAAAUGCGAUACGUAAUGUGAAUUGCAAAUUCAGUGAAUCAUCGAGUCUUUGAACGCACAUUGCGCUCCCUGGUAUUCCGGGGGGCAUGCCUGUCCGAGCGUCAUUACAACCCUCAAGCUCAGCUUGGUGUUGGGCCCCGCCGCCCCGGCGGGCCCUAAAGUCAGUGGCGGUGCCGUCCGGCUCCGAGCGUAGUAAUUCUUCUCGCUCUGGAGGUCCGGUCGUGUGCUCGCCAGCAACCCCCAAUUUUUUUCAGGUUGACCUCGGAUCAGGUAGGGAUACCCGCUGAACUUAAGCAUAUCAAUAAGCGGAGGA
rnacentral:misc_RNA from 1 species